rnacentral:misc_RNA from 1 species
GCUACCUUUCAUGUGCUACUCUUAAGUAGUUUAAAUAAAAAACACAAUUAACAUUUUGCAUCAACUUAACUGAUCUCAAUAUCUAAUUUCCCAUUAAACUUCAAAUUUCUCUUAAUUUUGCCCCUAAAUUGGUCUUAUUUAUUUUUAGUUUAUGUAAUUUGAGAGUUCUGAGUGACUAUUCUAAUUUGAGUGACUAAUUUUAUUUUUAUUAUACAUGUGAUCAUUUUAUAAUUACAAAUUUUAUUCUUCAAUUUCUUUCUCAUGAAGGUGUUUUUUUUACUUUUCGGUUCAUGAGUGUUUACAGAUUUGUCAUUAAGAGCAAAUCUUAGAUACUAAAAUGUUAGUUAACAAAAGGUAUUCUUCUUACUAAAAAAAAAUUAUAAGGAAAAAAAGAU